UUUCCUGAGACAGGGUUUCUCUGUGUAGCCCUGGCUGUCCUGGAACUCUCUAUAGACCAGGCUGUCCUUAAACUGAGCCUGCCUCUGCCUCCUGAGUGCCAGGAUUAAAGGUAUAUACCAGUAUGCUCGACUCUGUGCAGAAAUUUUAGUAGGUUCCUGCAAUCCUAGAUCACACAUGCUACUUGAUUUAAAUUUUUAUUACAUUAUUUAUUUGUGUGUGCAUGUGCAUGCAUGUGUGUGUGUGUGUGUGUGUGUGUGUGUGUGUGUGUGUAAUGUACACAUGUCAGGGUGCACAUGUGGAAGACAUGGGGCAACUUGAAGGAGUUGACUCUCUCCUUACUUGUGGGGCUCAGGGAAUCAACUCAGAUUAUCAGGAGGGGGAAAUACCUUUACCUGAGUCAUCUUGCCAGCCCCGGCUAUAUGACUUUUAAAUGCUGUUAUCAUAUAUUUUUUUAAAAAGAACACCUGCUAUAUAGAUGGCCUCAAAUUUGUGACUCUUCUGAGCUCGAGGAUAUCAUAGUUAAUAUUUUCUCACAUAUGUAUGUGUGCAUGGCACAUAUGCUUCCUUAUUUUUUAAAUCUUUUAUUCUCAUGUCUAGGGUCUGAAUACAAUAUAACUUAUUUAAUAAUCUUCCUAUUCAUGGGCAUGUAGAUUGUUUCCUUUUUUCUAUUAAAAAAAGAGAGAGAGACACCUUGUUUGACAUUUUUCUGUUUUUUAAUUAUUUCUAUGGUUUAGCUGUGGAGUCCCUGAGUCAAAGAGCAUCCACCCUUAGCUUCCUGGUAAAUAUUGCAAGGGCCACUUUAGGUGGCAAAAGCUUAAGUGGAAUGGCUUCUUUUAGUGGCCAAUGCCACAACCAUACAUUCAGAAAAAGCAUGGCCAGUGGACAGGGUUGCUCUGCGCUCCAUCUAAAUGCUCCUUGUGGCUCUCGAGUGGCUCACAGCUGUGCUCUGCUGACAAGCACAGAACAAUGAUUGCUACCCUUGGGUCUUCCCAGAGAACACCUCUGGCUGUGUUCUCUCGUGCAGGUUGGUACAUGACCACAGUCUCUUAAGAGUUCAUUGUUAAGCUGAGGGGUUAUGCCAGUUCUGCUAAGUGCUCUUAAUAACCUGCAUGUUUCGUGGUGUGUUUACUUUAGGAACCGAGCUACUAAUUAUUGUGACUCCUGGGUCAUUACUUUCCUUCUUAGUUUGCUUGCUUCUUUUAACCACAUUCCCAUCUUUCGCUCACUGCUGAUAGAGUUAUAUCAUUUGUGUAUACACAGGAAAGUAUCAGAGGUACCAAGAAAGGCUUAAUAUAAAUGAAUAAAUAUCAUAACCCUUCCUAAAAUACACGAUUGUAAGCUGAAUACUUUUUUUUUAUCUGCACUGGAUUGUUAUUCUGGGAGAAGAGUGUGUAUAAGGGGAGAGGCAGAAGUAAUUAUCCCAUUGAAAUGUAGGCUCAGAGACUAUUUCCAGGCCAAUGGAAAUGUUUUGAGUCACUCCUAUAAACUAGCAUAUGGGAGAUAUAACAAUAAGCAAGGUGACUGAACAUGACAAUAAUGCAUUGUGUGUUUCGAAAAAAAUUUUCUAAGGACUCCUAAGGACUUUCUAAGGACUUUUCUGCGAGUAAGUGGUUCCUUCAGUAAUGCAGGGAGCAAUUCAAAAAUGGUAAAAAGAGGCCAGGCACAGCAGCCAGGUCUACAUAGCAAGAUCCUGUCUGAAAAAAGGAAAGACUAAAAGAAAAAAGAAUUUUGGAAUUCUUAAUCAUACAGAAACAACCAAUGUUUCAGGGGUUAGGGUAAGAUGGACUUACCCUAAGACAAGCUUGGGAGUCCUGGCAGAGUCACCUGCAUUGAGGAGUCUGAGAACUAGUCUGGGCAAGGUUCUCUGUCUCUGACUUGGUCUCAUCUCUGUCUCUGUCUCUCUCCAACAUUGAUAAUAGUAAUUGGAAAUGCAUACCUUAAUUUGAACAUUAUAUAAUACAUACAGUGUAUCAAAACAACACAUGCUCUGGAAUGUGUAGAAAACAGUUUAAUAUCAGUUAUGAUGAUAUUAAAAGUAUAGGAGCAGCUUUUCAAGGAUAGGUUAAAAUCUAAGUAUCUUCCCAAGGAUGAGAUUUACUUCUAUGUUUCUCUGAAACAGUGGGAGGAAGGCGACAGAGCCAGUUUUCCUGAAACAUUGUAUCUCUUCUGAGUUAGUUGCUAGGGAUGGAGAAAAAUAAGAUACACUUUGGUCCUUGAAUAACUCGCUUUCACAAGCACAUUCUAUGAUAGAAAAACCGUCUAAUAUCGAACAUGGCAUGAAGUGUGAAGGGAGCAGGGAGGAGAGACAAUGGGUUUUGUCUCGGGUGCCAGGGAGGCUUCCCUAUGAUGCAGACAGAAAGGGUUGAGCAGGAGUUGGCUGAGAAAGAAUAAAUAGAAGGGCUGGUGAGGUUCAACAGAGGCUGUUUCCAAGAAGGGAGAGUAAUAGGCUUGAUUAGUGAAGCAUUUGGAUCCCUGGUGCACUCAGGACCUUGGAAGACACUGAAAGUUACUAUGAACCCUAGGUUAGUAGGUCUCUUGUGGUAUGCAGAUUGCCUGGGGGCUCAGUAAGGCGUGGAUUCUGAUUCUGAAGGUCUAGGGUGGACCUGCAUUCCUAACGAGGUCCCAGGGGCUCUGUGGACCACACUCAGAGUAGGAAGGCUGUAGGCACUGCUGACUGUGACUGCCCUUGUCCUGUCAGUUGGCACGACUUCAGAGCAAAAAGCAGAGCGCGAAUUGCCUUUUGCUGUAAGCAAAUGAAUACAAAGCAGCUGGAGGCUCUCUUUUGGAAAAUGUGGCACUGCAGGAACAAGUUCUGACUGACCUAUCCUGGAGGUCAUCUGCCCGGAUGAUAUGGAAGCCAGUGCUACAGGCAAGGUGAUAGACAGGUGUGGAUUGGCUUAGCCAGUUCCUGUUGAUCAAAAUGGUUGCUCAGUCGUGUAACCCUGAGUCUCAGGGCCUGUGUUGGAGGCUGGGAGGAAGGUGGGACACAUGGAAUUGUCACAGACUUUAAUUGUUUACGGGGGUUCCUUCAGCAUAAUAAUUAGAAAACAGAAACCAUAGUAGUGUUAUCUUGACUAUGUCUUUUCAGAGGUUUAGCUUGUAUUGAGAGAAUAGCCACACCAUUCUGGGAUGCUUCGAUUUGAAUACCUGACAUUGUUUUUAUCUAAAACUACUUACUCUUUGUACGUCAGCUAAGAACAAAUGACAUUUUGGGGUUGUUGAAAGGAAAAUUAUACAAAUUCUAGGUUUAGAAAUAUAAAAUUAAAAGAGUAAGCCCCAAAAGCCACAAACUCAGGGCUAAGCCCUGCCGCCAGGAAUAGCAGGCCAUAAAGAUAAAGAAAAGGAAUACAAAACCAGCUCAGGCUAUCGAGGACUGACCCAUAAACCAUCCAAAGACAUCCCCCCAGCUUACUCAGAGUCAUACUUUAACCAGAUGUCCUCCAGACCCUGAUAAGCCCCUACUUGUGCUUUUCAGCCAUUGUGUCCUACAGAGAGCACUCCAGGAAACCGGGCAGCCCAAGCCUAACCAGAGGUGUUUCAAAUACAGAUGCUUCAUCAAUUUUGACAAACUUUUAAAAAUAAUGAGGACCUGAAGACCCAACCCUUCUCCUGAUUUAGUAGCUCUGUUCCAGGAACCAAGGGGCCAUAAAACCUUCUGGCCUCCCCUUAUCUCCUGGAGCCAUAAAACAAUCCUGUAACUUGUGGUGCAUUCCCCUUUGACAUCCCCCAUCCCCUGGUGCUCACAGCCUCUGCCUUUAAAUACUCUUUUUCCCAGCCUCUCGGGGCGACACCUCUUUCUCCUGCGCAGGAUACGUGUCGGCCCGGAGAUCUCUGUAAUAGGUCUCCGUAAUAAACCUCGCCUUUGCUUAUUACAUCCAAAAUGGUCUCUCUGUGUCUGGGGUCCGCGAUUUCCCAAGACUUGAAUAAGGGUCUCUCUGCGUGGGAUCUUUCAUAAUGGGGGCUCGUCCGGGAUCUGUGCGACCACCCCAGACUCCGAAGACCCCUUGGAGUAACUGUUACAGGUCUUCUUUACCACCGAGGAAAGAUGGAAUCCUACUAGAGGCCAGAAAAAAUGUUCCAGACACGGAUGGAAGGCCCUCACUUCUGCCUGUUGACUUCAAAACGCCUAAAGGUAGGGAGUGCCAGGUCUGCCCCCAGGCUCCAAGGGUGGGUCUCUGAGGGGCUAGAAAAUGCCCCACCAGUCUGGCUAUGAUAAGGAAAAGAUAUGAAGAGAAUGUUACAGAAAUUUAAAGGGUUAAGUUAAGUUGCUGAGAGUUAGUACAAGUUACAGAGAAAGAGGUAAAAAGAACAGGAAGCUAGAGAAGAAAAGAGACAAAAAAAAAAAAAAAAAGAAGAAGUUAGAGAGCUAAAGAGAGAUAGAAGACAAGAGAGGAACAUAUACUGGCCACAGUAGUUAGGGAACCUAGGAAGAUAGUACCUGGCAACAGAAGAGAAUUCCUGGCUAAAGAUUAGUGUGCCUAACACAAAGAAAAAGGACAUUGGGUCAGGGACUGCCACAGAAAGAACAAGAGGGGACACUGGAGAGCCUCUUGGUGCUGGCUAUGCACAGAGAUAGAAGGGAAGCCCGCCCAGUUGUUUUGUGGAUACAGGGACCCAAUGCUCUGUGCUCCUAUGCUCCAGUGGGCCAAUAUCCAAAGACCUUGAGUACAAAGAGCUACUGGCAACGAACAAUACUUAUGGACUGCCCGAAGAACAGUGGACCUUGGCGUGGGCCGGGUAACCCACCCACUAAUUCAUGGUCAUCCCUGACUGCCCCUAUCCCUUGCUCAUGAGAAAACUGUUCUCCAAAAUGGCUUACGUGGGCUAAAAUGGCUGGGUGAGGCCAGGUGUAUGCAUAUCUGCAGACUAUAAAUGUGGAGCUUAAGACCUGUUUCAGUGCACCAGUACCUGAUGCUGGGAGAUGUGUGGCUUAGUGCUUUUCGGCCUGAAACACAUCACUCCUGCCAGCCGGGCACUAACAAUUAUCACCCAAUCCAGGACUUAAACUGUGAUAGAGUGGCUGAUGUUUUGCCUUUGGAUAGAGUGUCCCAAAAGAUGGGACCACUGGUCAGCUGCCAUGGACUAGAUUCUCCACUGGUUGGGGACAAUCUGGUCACCUUGCUGCCCAAUCCGGACCUGGAGCCACCACAGCACGAGUGUCAAACACUGACAGAAGCACAUGGGUGGAGGAAAGACCUCUGCGACUGGCUGAUUGACCCCUGCUGAAAGCCGAGGACCUUGUCCACAGACGGGAACAGUUCUCUUCAUGAAUGAAGAUCAGAGACAAGUGGGUACUGCCAUGGUGGACAACACAAUGUCAUCUAGAAUGGCUGAACCCCAACCCCCCAGCACA